UCAAGUUAUUAAGGGUGCAGGGCGGAUGCCUUGGCACUAGGAGCCGAUGAAGGACGUGAUAAGCUGCGAUAAGCUUCGGGGAGUUGCACGUAAACUUUGAUCCGAAGAUUUCCGAAUGAGGAAACUCACUUAGAGUAAUGUCUAAGUAUCAUUAAGUGAAUACAUAGCUUAAUGAGGGGAACUCAGGGAACUGAAACAUCUAAGUACCUGAAGGAAGAGAAAGAAAUUCGAUUCCGUAAGUAGCGGCGAGCGAACGCGGAUUAGCCCAAACCAAUAAAGUUUUCUUUAUUGGGGUUGCGGACAUAUCAUAACGAAGAGGUAUCGUAAUUGAAGAGGUUUGGAAAGACCCACCACAGAAGGUAAUAGUCCUGUAUGUUAAACGAGAAGACUUCAGAUAUGAUCCAGAGUACCACGGGACACGUGAAACCCUGUGGGAAGCAGGAGGGACCACCCUCCAAGGCUAAAUACUACCUAGUGACCGAUAGCGUAUAGUACCGUGAGGGAAAGGUGAAAAGAACCCCGGGAGGGGAGUGAAAUAGAACCUGAAACCCUGCACUUACAAGCUGUGGAAGCACAUUUCUUGUGUGACCGCGUACUUUUUGUAGAACGGGCCAACGAGUUACGUUAAGUAGCAAGGUUAAGCACUUAAGGUGCGGAGCCGUAGCGAAAGCGAGUUUUAACUGAGCGUUCAGUUACUUGACGUAGACCCGAAACCGGGCGACCUACCCAUGAGCAGGAUGAAGCGAAAGUAAAAUUUCGUGGAGGUCCGAACCCACGAGCGUUGAAAAGCUCGGGGAUGACUUGUGGGUAGCGGUGAAAUUCCAAUCGAGCCCGGAGAUAGCUGGUUCUCCCCGAAAUAGCUUUAGGGCUAGCCUCAAGGUGAGAGAUACGGAGGUAGAGCACUGAAUGUCCUAGGGGGUAUUGCACCUACCGAAGACUAUCAAACUCCGAAUGCCGUCAUCUUAUACUUGGGAGUCAGACUGUGGGUGAUAAGAUUCAUAGUCGAAAGGGCAACAGCCCAGAUCGUCAGCUAAGGUCCCUAAAUGUAAGUUAAGUGGUAAAGGAUGUGGGAUUGCACAGACAACCAGGAUGUUGGCUUAGAAGCAGCCACUCAUUCAAAGAGUGCGUAAUAGCUCACUGGUCGAGUGAUCCUGCGCCGAAGAUUUCCGGGGCUAAAACUUACUACCGAAGCUACGGCAUCAGUAAUGAUGGGUAGGGGAGCUUCCCAUACGGGUUGAAGCAUGACCGUAAGGACAUGUGGACAGUAUGGGAGUGAGAAUGUUGGCAUGAGUAGCGAGAUGUGGGUGAGAAUCCCACAGGCCGUAAACCCAAGGUUUCCAGGGGAAGGUUCGUCCGCCCUGGGUUAGUCGGGACCUAAGCUGAGGCCGAAAGGCGUAGGUGAUGGACAACAGGUUGAUAUUCCUGUACUACCGAUAACCGUUUGAGAGAAGGGAUGACACAGUAGGAUAAGCUAAGCACACUGUUGGUUAUGUGUGCCCAAGCAUUGAGGCAGUCAAAGUAGGCAAAUCCGCUUUGAUAAUGCUGGGAUGUGAUGGGGAGCGAAAUUUAGUAGCGAAGUAGCUGAUUUCACACUGUCAAGAAAAGUCUCUAUCGAGGUUAAAGGUACCCGUACCGCAAACCGACACAGGUGGGUGAGGAGAGUAUCCUAAGGCCAGCGAGAGAACUGUUGUUAAGGAACUCGGCAAAAUGACCCCGUAACUUAGGGAUAAGGGGUGCCACCAUCAGGUGGCCGCAGAGAAUAGGCCCAAGCGACUGUUUACCAAAAACAUAGGUUUCUGCUAAGUCGCAAGACGAUGUAUAGGAGCUGACGCCUGCCCGGUGCUGGAAGGUUAAGGGGAUCUGUUAGAGCAAUCGAAGCAGUGAACUUAAGCCCCAGUAAACGGCGGCCGUAACUAUAACGGUCCUAAGGUAGCGAAAUUCCUUGUCGGGUAAGUUCCGACCCGCACGAAAGGCGUAACGAUUUGGGCACUGUCUCAACAACAGACUCGGUGAAAUUGUAAUUCCGGUGAAGAUGCCGGAUACCUGCGACAGGACGGAAAGACCCCAUGGAGCUUUACUGUAGCUUGACAUUGGGUCUUGGUACUACAUGUACAGGAUAGGUGGGAGGCUUUGAAACCAGGACGCCAGUUUUGGCGGAGCCAUCCUUGGGAUACCACCCUUGUAGUACUGGGACUCUAACCAUAGGCCAUGAAUCUGGUCUUGGGACACUGUCAGGUGGGCAGUUUGACUGGGGCGGUCGCCUCCCAAAAGGUAACGGAGGCGCUCAAAGGUUCUCUCAGUACGGUCGGAAAUCGUACGUAGAGUGUAAAGGCAAAAGAGAGCUUGAUUGCAAGACAUACAGGUCGAGCAAGGAUGAAAAUCGGACUUAGUGAUCCGGUGGUUCUGCGUGGAAGGGCCAUCGCUCAACGGAUAAAAGCUACCCUGGGGAUAACAGGCUUAUCUCCCCCAAGAGUCCACAUCGACGGGGAGGUUUGGCACCUCGAUGUCGGCUCAUCACAUCCUGGGGCUGUAGUAGGUCCCAAGGGUUGGGCUGUUCGCCCAUUAAAGUGGUACGCGAGCUGGGUUCAGAACGUCGUGAGACAGUUCGGUCCCUAUCCGUCGCAGGCGUAGGAAAUUUGAGAAGACCUGUCCUUAGUACGAGAGGACCGGGAUGGACGUACCUCUGGUGUACCAGUUGUCCUGCCAAGGGCAUGGCUGGGUAGCUAUGUACGGAAUGGAUAAGCGCUGAAAGCAUCUAAGCGCGAAGCCAACUUCAAGAUAAGAUUUCCCACCGCAAGGGUAAGACCCCAGAAAGACUAUCUGGUUGAUAGGUCGAAGGUGUAAGUGCAGCAAUGUAUUUAGCUUAUCGAUACUAAUAGGUC
rnacentral:rRNA from 1 species